AUGAACGCUAGCUACAGGCUUAACACAUGCAAGUCGAGGGGCAUCAGGGUGUAGCAAUACACCGCUGGCGACCGGCGCACGGGUGAGUAACACGUAUCCAACCUGCCCUUUACUCGGGGAUAGCCUUUCGAAAGAAAGAUUAAUACCCGAUGGUAUAACAUGACCUCCUGGUUUUGUUAUUAAAGAAUUUCGGUAGAGGAUGGGGAUGCGUUCCAUUAGGCAGUUGGCGGGGUAACGGCCCACCAAACCUUCGAUGGAUAGGGGUUCUGAGAGGAAGGUCCCCCACAUUGGAACUGAGACACGGUCCAAACUCCUACGGGAGGCAGCAGUGAGGAAUAUUGGUCAAUGGGCGAGAGCCUGAACCAGCCAAGUAGCGUGAAGGAUGACCGCCCUAUGGGUUGUAAACUUCUUUUAUAUGGGAAUAAAGGGUGCCACGUGUGGCAUUUUGUAUGUACCAUAUGAAUAAGGAUCGGCUAACUCCGUGCCAGCAGCCGCGGUAAUACGGAGGAUCCGAGCGUUAUCCGGAUUUAUUGGGUUUAAAGGGAGCGUAGGUGGACAUGUAAGUCAGUUGUGAAAGUUUGCGGCUCAACCGUAAAAUUGCAGUUGAUACUGCGUGUCUUGAGUACAGUAGAGGUGGGCGGAAUUCGUGGUGUAGCGGUGAAAUGCUUAGAUAUCACGAAGAACUCCGAUUGCGAAGGCAGCUCACUGGACUGCAACUGACACUGAUGCUCGAAAGUGUGGGUAUCAAACAGGAUUAGAUACCCUGGUAGUCCACACAGUAAACGAUGAAUACUCGCUGUUUGCGAUAUACAGUAAGCGGCCAAGCGAAAGCAUUAAGUAUUCCACCUGGGGAGUACGCCGGCAACGGUGAAACUCAAAGGAAUUGACGGGGGCCCGCACAAGCGGAGGAACAUGUGGUUUAAUUCGAUGAUACGCGAGGAACCUUACCCGGGCUUAAAUUGCAACUGACGGAACCGGAAACGGUUCUUUCUUCGGACAGUUGUGAAGGUGCUGCAUGGUUGUCGUCAGCUCGUGCCGUGAGGUGUCGGCUUAAGUGCCAUAACGAGCGCAACCCUUAUCUUCAGUUACUAACAGGUUAUGCUGAGGACUCUGGAGAGACUGCCGUCGUAAGAUGUGAGGAAGGUGGGGAUGACGUCAAAUCAGCACGGCCCUUACGUCCGGGGCUACACACGUGUUACAAUGGGGGGUACAGAAGGCCGCUACACAGCGAUGUGAUGCCAAUCCCUAAAGCCCCUCUCAGUUCGGAUCGAAGUCUGCAACCCGACUUCGUGAAGCUGGAUUCGCUAGUAAUCGCGCAUCAGCCACGGCGCGGUGAAUACGUUCCCGGGCCUUGUACACACCGCCCGUCAAGCCAUGGGAGCCGGGGGUACCUGAAGUACGUAACCGCAAGGAGCGUCCUAGGGUAAAACUGGUGACUGGGGCU
rnacentral:rRNA from 1 species